CUCGAUCCUUACCACAAACCUCAAAUAGGCUAUGUCAAUUGCUUGAUUACAUAUUCAAAAGAACCAGAACAGAUCAAAACGAUAGAAACAGUCACUCGAGUAGCUAACUUGUUUCUUUCGGAUGGAAGAGCAAGAAAAAGGCUCGUGGUACAUGUGGCAACGGCUUGGUAGAUUGGACUUGAUGUAUCUGUAGGAAAACGAUCAAUAAUAACGGCUUGGCAACGGCCGACAGUAAUUCACUCGAGAAGAGAAAGAAACCGAGGCAUGGAUGCAACAUCCAGGCCGAACAGGAGUAAUAACUGCAUGGAGUUAGCAUCGAGAAGAUAUUUUCUUAGAAACUGUUCAG
rnacentral:lncRNA from 1 species